AUAAAAGACUAAACAAUACUAAAUUGAUUUAAGACAAUGAUUAUUUUGCAAUGGUCGGAGUUAUUGUCAUUUUUGGAUUUUAUCUUUCGAAUCUCUCGAUCGAAGCUUAUCGUCCUUACGAUAUCAUUUAUAACCUUUAUCUUUUCGUCAGUGAUGAGACUUUAGAACAGAAGAUACACAAUAUCAUGAAGUCCAUGAGUGGGCAAAAGAUUUGUUUUACGUGUGGUGGAGUCAUUAAUAUUAC